UUGGUCCACUUGUCAAACGGCGCUUGGUGGAUAAAAAUCCCCUAAUCACUAAUAAUGCUGCAUCAAAAACAAAUGCAAAUACAGCAACCAACCUUCAAAUAUGUUCCUCUGGUUCAGCACGUGCUGAACAUUUGUCCACAACCUAUUGUGCAAAUGCAGGUUCUUCUUGGAACCAGCAAGAAGCGAGAGGUUUGAUGAUUUCAGACAUACACAAAGCGGAUUCACAUUCUAGUGGCAGCAAUAAUGCUCACGGUCUUUCAUCAACAUACCUAUCAUUUUCUGGUGCAAAUGAAGACAGAAACAACUAUGGUCAGGGAGGAAUGAAGGUGAAUGGGGCUGUUUCUGUUAAGUAGGAUCCACUUUAUGCUUGAAGGGACGGCUGCCUCCUUAUUGUCUGGUAAUGCAAGCAUAAUUGGGCCGAUUCAAUCACGGAGAACAGUCUAGUAACCCUUCAAGUAUGUGGAGUCCCAGGCAACUCAUUCUUGGCUUUGGUUUAUGUGGUUUACCCGGGUCGGGAUGGAGGAGGAAAUACAGGGUAGUAGGACUAUGUAGAAUUAUAAAGGAUUGGCUUUCAAAUUAUGCGUGGAUCUCUUGUUUAAACUAUGAAGGAUUCGAUGUGGAUAAUGCCUCUCUUGUAGGCUUUCUGGAUGUGUUACUUUGUUGGAGUUAGUAUAGUACUGUGUUUAUAGUUAAAUGGAGCAUGGACAAGGAAGAUAAUCACGGUCUAGGAGGUGUUUUAAAAAGUUUUUAGUGAUCAUAUUCAUGUUAGUGAUCCUCCCUAUUUCUUGGUCAUUUAUUUAUGAAUUUUAGUGGUGUAUAUUUCGACUGACUUGGUCCAUAUUUCACUGAAACUCAACAAAGGAGGAAUUUCACAACGCAAAAUGUACAGAAUUAUUGAAAGGUAAAGUUGUAAAAUCAAAGUAAUUUCUUAAGAUAGACAUUGAGAUUUCCGUUUGUUGGAUUUCUAAGGAUUUGCUCUUUUCAUGUAUCUCAACUUGUAUGAUUUUAUUGGUCAAUAAAAUUUAGUAGUUUCAGUAA